rnacentral:rRNA from 1 species
GGAAGUAAAAGUCGUAACAAGGUUUCCGUAGGUGAACCUGCGGAAGGAUCAUUCAUGUUUGCCCCUCUGGGGUUUAAAUAUCAACCACACUGUGAACCGUGGCUUCGGCCCAAACUUGACGUCUUGAAUGUAUUUACCAUAAACAAUACAACUUUCAACAACGGAUCUCUUGGCUCUCGCAUCGAUGAAGAACGCAGCGAAAUGCGAUAAGUAAUGUGAAUUGCAGAAUUCAGUGAAUCAUCGAAUCUUUGAACGCACCUUGCGCCCUCUGGUAUUCCGGAGGGCAUGCCUGUUUGAGUGUCAUGAACACCUCACCCCCUCGGGUUUUUUGCCCGACUGUGGUGGACUUGGGCGCUGCCAGCCAUGGCUCGCCUCAAAUGCAUUAGCAGUCUCUGACGUGAUGAGUUUCGUCUGUCGGCUGCUCCUAAUCUCCUUCGGGAUGUGCCUCUCGGUGCAACUUCAUGAACUGGCCUCAAAUCAGGUAGGACUACCCGCUGAACUUAAGCAUAUCAAUAAGCGGAGGAA